rnacentral:rRNA from 1 species
UACGGGGGGAGCAAGCGUUGUUCGGAUUUACUGGGCGUAAAGGGCGCGUAGGCGGCCACCGCAAGUCACUUGUGAAAUCUCCGGGCUUAACCCGGAAAGGUCAACUGAUACUGCGGGGCUAGAGUGCAGAAGGGGCAACUGGAAUUCUCGGUGUAGCGGUGAAAUGCGUAGAUAUCGAGAGGAACACCUGCGGCGAAGGCGGGUUGCUGGGCUGACACUGGCGCUGAGGCGCGAAAGCCAGGGGAGCGAACGGG